CCAGACUCCUACGGGAGGCAGCAGUGGGGGAUAUUGGACAAUGGGGGGAACCCCGAUCCAGCGACGCCGCGUGAGUGAAGAAGUAUCUCGGUAUGUAAAGCUCUAUCAGCAGGGAAGAAAGAAAUGACGGUACCUGAGUAAGAAGCCCCGGCUAACUACGUGCCAGCAGCCGCGGUAAUACGUAGGGGGCAAGCGUUAUCCGGAAUUACUGGGUGUAAAGGGAGCGUAGACGGUGAAGUAAGUCUGGAGUGAAAGGCGGGGGCCCAACCCCCGGACUGCUCUGGAAACUGUGCAGCUAGAGUGCAGGAGAGGUAAGUGGAAUUCCUAGUGUAGCGGUGAAAUGCGUAGAUAUUAGGAGGAACACCAGUGGCGAAGGCGGCCUGCUGGGCUCUAACUGACGCUGAGGCUCGAAAGCGUGGGUAGCAAACAGGAUUAGAUACCCGGGUAA
rnacentral:rRNA from 1 species